GAUGAACGCUGGCGGCGUGCCUAAUACAUGCAAGUCGAGCGAACGGACGAGAAGCUUGCUUCUCUGAUGUUAGCGGCGGACGGGUGAGUAACACGUGGAUAACCUACCUAUAAGACUGGGAUAACUUCGGGAAACCGGAGCUAAUACCGGAGAAUAUUUUGAACCGCAUGGUUCAAAAGUGAAAGACGGUCUUGCUGUCACGUAUAGAUGGAUCCGCGCUGCAUUAGCUAGUUGGUAAGGUAACGGCUUACCAAGGCAACGAUGCAUAGCCGACCUGAGAGGGUGAUCGGCCACACUGGAACUGAGCCACGGUCCAGACUCCUACGGGAGGCAGCAGUAGGGAAUCUUCCGCAAUGGGCGAAAGCCUGACGGAGCAACGCCGCGUGAGUGAUGAAGGUCUUCGGAUCGUAAAACUCUGUUAUUAGGGAAGAACAUAUGUGUAAGUAACUGUGCACAUCUUGACGGUACCUAAUCAGAAAGCCACGGCUAACUACGUG
rnacentral:rRNA from 1 species